UACAUAGGGGGCGAGCGUUGUCCGGAAUGACUGGGCGUAAAGGGAGCGUAGGCGGUCAUGCAAGUUAUAUGUGAAAGCCCGGGGCUUAACCCCGGAACUGCAUGUAAAACUGCAUGGCUAGAGUGUGGGAGAGGAAAGUGGAAUUCCUAGUGUAGCGGUGGAAUGCGUAGAUAUUAGGAGGAACACCAGUGGCGAAGGCGGCUUUCUGGACCACAACUGACGCUGAGGCUCGAAAGCGUGGGGAGCAAACAGGAUUAGAUACC
rnacentral:rRNA from 1 species